GGCCGGCGGGGCGGGGCCGGCGGGGCGCGUCCCGGAACCAGAGACGGGGUAGCGCUCGAGUUCCUGCGCGGGACUGCCAAGACACGACCACGGGCUGGAAGGCUGCCAGGCCCAGCGGGCAAGCGAAGAAAUGAACCACCGCAACGCGGGCGCUUGGGGGCGGGGCCGAGUGCGAACCUGAGCCCCAAAUCCCGACCCAGGCAGGGGCGGGGCCCGGAGCGGGGCCUUGGAGGCCCAGCCCGCGCGGCGACGUCUCCGCGUGGCGUCACGGCACCGACUGACGGCCACCCACCAUGGCCGCAGACCAGCGCCCGAAGGCCGACACCCUGGCCCUGAGGCAACGGCUCAUCAGCUCUUCCUGCAGACUCUUUUUUCCCGAGGAUCCUGUUAAGAUUGUCCGGGCCCAAGGGCAGUACAUGUACGAUGAACAGGGGGCAGAAUACAUCGAUUGCAUCAGCAAUGUGGCGCACGUUGGGCACUGCCACCCUCUCGUGGUCCAAGCAGCACAUGAGCAGAACCAGGUGCUCAACACCAACAGCCGGUACCUGCAUGACAACAUCGUGGACUAUGCGCAGAGGCUGUCAGAGACCCUGCCGGAGCAGCUCUGUGUGUUCUAUUUCCUGAAUUCUGGGUCAGAAGCCAAUGACCUGGCCCUGAGGCUGGCUCGCCACUACACGGGACACCAGGACGUGGUGGUAUUAGAUCAUGCGUAUCACGGCCACCUGAGCUCCCUGAUUGACAUCAGUCCCUACAAGUUCCGCAACCUGGAUGGCCAGAAGGAGUGGGUCCACGUGGCACCUCUCCCAGACACCUACCGGGGCCCCUACCGGGAGGACCACCCCAACCCAGCUAUGGCCUAUGCCAACGAGGUGAAACGUGUGGUCAGCAGUGCACAGGAGAAGGGCAGGAAGAUUGCGGCCUUCUUCGCUGAGUCUCUGCCCAGUGUGGGAGGGCAGAUCAUUCCCCCUGCUGGCUACUUCUCCCAAGUGGCAGACUCCAGGGAAAAGACUUCGUCCCUGACAUCGUCACCAUGGGCAAGUCCAUUGGCAAUGGCCACCCUGUUGCCUGCGUGGCCGCAACCCAGCCUGUGGCGAGGGCAUUUGAAGCCACCGGCGUUGAGUACUUCAACACGGGGCUCCUACUGUACUUCAGGGAUACCUGACCUGGGUUGCAGUCACAUUAGCUCCUGGAAAGCCAGGACAGCCCGUGUUGAACCCCACUUACUACUGCUGAGGACUGUGCGCCCUAAGGGGUUUGGGGCCUCUGCUCUUGCCACUGGCCUUGGAACACGUGUGGCAGUUCUUCUGCCUCACCCUCACUCUGGGGCAUGGCCCACUCUGCCAGGGCAUCUGACAUGUUCUUUGUCCCUGGCUCAGUUUGGGGGCAGCCCAGUGUCCUGCGCUGUGGGGCUGGCCGUCCUGAAUGUCUUGGAGAAGGAGCAGCUCCAGGAUCAUGCCACCAGUGUAGGCAGCUUCCUGAUGGAGCUCCUCGGGCAGCAAAAAAUCAAACAUCCCAUCGUCGGGGAUGUCAGGGGUGUUGGGCUCUUCAUUGGUGUGGAUCUGAUCAAAGAUGAGGCCACAAGGACACCAGCAACUGAAGAGGCUGCCUACUUGGUAUCAAGGAGCCUCAGGGAUUCGGAAUGGUCAGGUGGCGUGGAAGGAAACAGAUCCCAAGUUCAGCCCGCUCUUUCGUCUCACAAUACCCUGGGGGUGCUUUUCCAGUUCAGUGAGGAAAUGGGCUGAAGGAGAACUACGUUUUGCUGAGCACUGAUGGCCCUGGGAGGAACAUCCUGAAGUUUAAGCCCCCAAUGUGCUUCAGCCUGGACAAUGCACGGCAGGUGGUGGCAAAGCUGGAUGCCAUUCUGACUGACAUGGAAGAGAAGGUGAGAAGUUGUGAAACGCUGAGGCUCCAGCCCUAAGCCAGCCCUGCUCUGCCUAGGUGUACUCCAGAAGAAACUCAUCUCAUCCAAAUACACGCUAUUGAGAAGGCGAGCCUGACCUCCCUCUUACAGAUAAAGUCAGCUUUCAGAGGCUCAGGGUGGGGGGCCUGCCCAAGGCCAUAAUGCUACCCACCCCCUCCUCCUAACCACUGGUCUGUUGGGAUAACCCAGAUGUCUGCAUCCCCUCAAGUCAGUCAAUUUCCUUUCUGUCCACUGGGGGUGGAAUGGGGUAGGGUGGGGUACUUUAAAGUGCUCCUGCUUAAAUAAGUUAGACCAGACCAGUGUAUUUCUAAAGAAAAUCCUGACAUGCACACCCAUUAAAAAUAGUACAUUUUA